rnacentral:rRNA from 1 species
CAGCCGCCGCGGUAAUACAGAGGUCCCGAGCGUUAGGCGGAAUCACUGGGCUUAAAGCGUGUGUAGGCGGAUGCCUAAGUACCUUGUGAAAUCCCACGGCUUAACCGUGGAACUGCUUGGUAUACUGGGUGUCUUGAGCCACUUAGGGGCUACCGGAACAAAUGGUGGAGCGGUGAAAUGCGUAGAUAUCAUUUGGAACGCCAAUGGUGAAAACAGGUAGCUGGGAGUGUGCUGACGCUGAGACACGAAAGCCAGGGGAGCGAACGGGAUUAGAUACCCCCGUAGUCCCUGUCUCUUAUAC